UAAUCAUGUUGUUCUGAAGUCAGUCGAGGCCGGCCAGUGUCUUGGAAGAAGCAGCGAGAUGCAGACUCAAAUUAAAGUCGCGGCAUUUCUUUUCAUCGCCGGAAUUUUCCUUGUGCAGGCCGUGGAUCAGACUAACUCACAUCGAAGACAAAUCGCUCGCCGGAGUGUUGAGGAUUAUGACUCAAAUAAUGAUAGUUAUUUAAGUGGAACUGAAGCAACUGACCAAAGCAUCGAACAUGAAAUUUAUGCAGAAGCCGAUGAAAAAGAAACUGAGCCUGCUGGUGAUGAGACUGAUGAGGGGCUUCUAAAAUCUUUCAGUUCUAAAGCAAAGGUCACAUUAUAUAAAAUUAAAAAAAUCCCCAGUGAAGUAAGCACCUUUUUCAGUCGAUUUGUAAGCAACAAUUUUUAGAUGUACCGCAAAACUUUUAGGUAUGACCUUUCUUUGUAUGAACAAUAAAAGACAUUUUUAUAACUUACA